AACGAACGCUGGCGGCAUGCCUAACACAUGCAAGUCGAACGAAACCUCCGGGUCUAGUGGCGCACGGGUGCGUAAGGCGUGGGAACCUGCCCUUAGGUUCGGAAUAACUCUCCGACAGGGGUGCUAAUACCGGAUAAUGUCUUCGGACCAAAGAUAUAUCGCACUUGGAUGGGCAGGCGUUGGAUUAGCUGGUUGGUAGGGUAAAAGCUUACCACGGCGACGUUUCAUAGCUGGUCUGAGAGGAUGAUCAGCCACACUGGGACUGGGACACGGCCUAGACUCCUACGGGAGGGGGGAGAGGAGAAUAUUGGACGGUGGGCGAAAGCCUGAUCCAGCACUGCCGCGUAAGUGAUGAAGGCCGGGGGGUUGUAAAGCUCUUUUACCCGAGAUGAUAAUGACGGUACCGGGUGAAUAAGCUCCGGCUAACUCCGUG
rnacentral:rRNA from 1 species